rnacentral:lncRNA from 1 species
CGGUGAACUCGAGCUCGUUUAAGCUCGUUUCAUACAUCUUCUGUUCCUCCUGUUUCACCAUCUCCACUUCCACCUGUUUCACCAUCUCCACCAUCUUCUGUUAAGAGCAACACCCAACCAAUAAAAAAUCAAAUCCCAACAGCAGCAAGCAAUGAAAUUCAGCAAGAAACCCAUACUUGUGGAACAAUGAAAUUCAGCAAGAAAUCCCAACAGCAGCAAGUUAAAUCCUAACAGCAGCAAGCAAUGAAAUUCAGCAAAAAAUUCGGCAAGCAAUUAAGAUAUCAAAGUUCCAAAUUCUAAUCCACAAAUUGAGCUGGAUCUAUACCUUGGGCAGUUUCAUUAUCUAUUUAAACUCAGCUCAACCAAGCAUGAUUUUGGCAAAGAAAAAAGAGAAAUAAAUAAAACAAUACAAGCAUCGUUUGAACAAAAAAAAAGAGAAAUAAAACUCAGCUCAACCAAACUUACCGGAAAUUCCUUGCUGCUCUGCUGCUGUCGCGUGCGCCGGGGUGCUGCUGCUGCCGUCGCUCGCGCCGGGCGUCACUGGUGGCCGGUCAGACUCAGCCGAGAUAGAGAUGAG